rnacentral:tmRNA from 1 species
GGGGAUGUUCUGGCUUCGACGCUGGUAAUGAAACUCAAUGAUGCAUGUCGAGUGAGUAUGUCCACUCGUAAAUAAAAUAUACAUUUUAAACUAGUCGCAAACGACGAAACUUACGCUCUAGCAGCCUAAGGGCUGCUUGGGACGGCAC